rnacentral:tRNA from 1 species
UGAUAAAAAGAGGAUUUUAACCUCUGUUGUCGGAGCUACAAGCCGCCGCCUAGCUUUCUCAGCCAUUUUACC